AAAAUCGUAGGCGUCUCGCCACGGGUUCGAUUCCCGGCCUCCCCCCACUGAAUGACAGGCAGGGGAGGUCCCGAGAAGGGUCGUGUUCGGACCCGGACGGGGCGCCCAGCCCCAGUGUCUGAGCAGGCGGCUCAG
rnacentral:sRNA from 1 species